rnacentral:misc_RNA from 1 species
CCGAGUUAGGGUGUCUCCGCCUCCGGGCGCGCCCGACCUCCCAACCCUUUGCUUACCUGACCUCAUGUUGCUUCGGCCGGCCCGCCCCCCAGGAAGGGGGGCCGCCGGGGGGUGGCCUCUACCGUCCCCCCCCCCUGGCCCGCCGCCGGUCGAUGGCCCGUUACCAAAACUCUCCAGUGAAGAAACGUGUCGUCUGAGUCGUGUUAUACCAAAUGACCAAA